UACGUAGGUGGCAAGCGUUGUCCGGAUUUACUGGGCGUAAAGAGCGCGCAGGCGGUCGUUCAAGUCGCGUGUGAAAGCCCCCGGCUCAACUGGGGAGGGUCACGCGAUACUGAUCGACUCGAAGGCAGGAGAGGGUAGUGGAAUUCCCGGUGUAGUGGUGAAAUGCGUAGAUAUCGGGUGGAACACCAGUGGCGAAGGCGACUACCUGGCCUGUUCUUGACGCUGAGGCGCGAAAGCUAGGGGAGCAAACGGG
rnacentral:rRNA from 1 species